CUUCAGGCAUAUAUCAUAAACAGGUUAUUGGUUUAUGUGUACCGUGAAUUUCGAGCUGCUGAAAAGAGCGGCACAGUUCCUUGGAUCCGUGCAGAUGAGUUGUCAGCUCAGUUUCCAAGCCUUUCAGAAACCAUCUUACGGAAGAAGCUGAAGGAAUGUGCUGUGUUGCGGAAGGAUUCAAAUGGAUACUUGUUUUGGUCCAAGAAGCGUGAUUUCAUCAUUCCAACUGAAGAGGAGUUGAAAAAGUUGGUACUACCAGAGAAUGUUUGUGCUUAUGAAAGUAUGCAAGCUGGUCUGUAUCGUCUGAAGCACUUAGGAAUUACCAGGCUGAUACUCCCAACUAGUGCUUCAAGUGCAAUGAGUCAGCUCCCUGAUGAAGCAAUAGCUCUGGCUGCUGCAUCACACAUAGAGAGGGAAUUGCAGAUAACUCCAUGGAGCUUGAGCAGCAACUUUGUUGCUUGUACAAGCCAGGAUAGGGAAAAUAUUGAGCGUCUUGAAAUUACUGGAGUUGGUGAUCCAUCUGGUCGGGGC
rnacentral:misc_RNA from 1 species